rnacentral:rRNA from 1 species
AGAGAGAGACAUGCGCGCAUAUCAAUAAGCGGAGGAAAAGAAACUAACAAGGAUUCCCCUAGUAACGGCGAGUGAAGCGGGAAGAGCUCAAAUUUGAAAUCUUAAAGGGUUUCCCUUUACGAAUUGUAGUUUAAAGAAGUGUUUUCUGUUGAGGUUUUGGUAAAAGUUCUUUGGAAUAGGACAUCAUAGAGGGUGAGAAUCCCGUAUUUGACCUUUACUUUCAACUUUGUGAUACACUUUCAAAGAGUCGGAUUGUUUGGGAAUGCAGUCCAAAAUGGGUGGUAAAUUUCAUCUAAAGCUAAAUAUUGGCGAGAGACCGAUAGCGAACAAGUACCGUGAGGGAAAGAUGAAAAGAACUUUGAAAAGAGAGUUAAACAGUACGUGAAAUUGUCAAAAGGGAAGCGUUUGACACCAGUGUUGUUUUUCUGAAAAUCAAUUAAAGAACUGUUUAUGCUAAGUCUGUUUAGACUUUAUCAGCUAUCUGUUUAGUUUUGAGCUUUUCUUUAAUGCACUUUUCAGUUAACAAGUCAACAUCAAUUUCUUUUGCUGUAAAAAAGCUUGAGGAAGGUGGCUUGAGAUUCGUCUUAAGUGUUUAUAGCCUCUUGCCUAUGCAGUCGGAGAGAUUGAGGUCUGCAGCGUAGAUCCUUCGGGGCUAAAUGCAUUUGUGCUAAGUUAUAGCAUUUUAUAGACAACUUGUUGACUAUGAUUUGUCUUGUAGCUUACUCGCUUAUGUUAUUUUACCUACGCUUAGGAUGUUGAUGUGAUACUGCGAGCU